rnacentral:rRNA from 1 species
CCUACGGGGGGCAGCAGUGGGGAAUAUUGGACAAUGGGGGCAACCCUGAUCCAGCCAUGCCGCGUGUGUGAAGAGGGCCCUCGGGUUGUAAAGCACUUUCAGUGAGGAAGAACGCCUGGUGGUUAAUACCCAUCAGGAAAGACAUCACUCACAGAAGAAGCACCGGCUAACUCCGUGCCAGCAGCCGCGGUAAUACGGAGGGUGCGAGCGUUAAUCGGAAUUACUGGGCGUAAAGCGCGCGUAGGUGGCUUGAUAAGCCGGUUGUGAAAGCCCCGGGCUCAACCUGGGAACGGCAUCCGGAACUGUCAAGCUAGAGUGCAGGAGAGGAAGGUAGAAUUCCCGGUGUAGCGGUGAAAUGCGUAGAGAUCGGGAGGAAUACCAGUGGCGAAGGCGGCCUUCUGGACUGACACUGACACUGAGGUGCGAAAGCGUGGGUAGCAAACAGGAUUAGAUACCCGAGUAGUC